rnacentral:rRNA from 1 species
CCUACGGGAGGCAGCAGUGGGGAAUUUUGGACAAUGGGCGCAAGCCUGAUCCAGCCAUGCCGCGUGCGGGAAGAAGGCCUUCGGGUUGUAAACCGCUUUUGUCAGGGAAGAAAUCCUUUGAGAUAAUACCUCGGAGGGAUGACGGUACCUGAAGAAUAAGCACCGGCUAACUACGUGCCAGCAGCCGCGGUAAUACGUAGGGUGCGAGCGUUAAUCGGAAUUACUGGGCGUAAAGCGUGCGCAGGCGGUCUUGCAAGACAGAUGUGAAAUCCCCGGGCUCAACCUGGGAACUGCAUUUGUGACUGCAAGGCUAGAGUACGGUAGAGGGGGAUGGAAUUCCGCGUGUAGCAGUGAAAUGCGUAGAUAUGCGGAGGAACACCGAUGGCGAAGGCAAUCCCCUGGACCUGUACUGACGCUCAUGCACGAAAGCGUGGGGAGCAAACAGGAUUAGAUACCCUGGUAGUCCACGCCCUAAACGAUGUCAACUGGUUGUUGGACGGCUUGCUGUUCAGUAACGAAGCUAACGCGUGAAGUUGACCGCCUGGGGAGUCGGCCGCAAGGUUGAAACGUCAAAGGAAUUGACGGCUGAGAGNGCGACGACGACGACGAGGGAGGAGG